CGCGAUAUGACCCAUAAUUUGGCAACUGCAUUCGAGUGUGUGGGUAGAGUGGUAAAUUUUCUAGCACCAUUCGAAUUCAGUGCUCGAAUGUGGACGUUCAGCG
rnacentral:pre_miRNA from 1 species